GAAAUGCGAUACGUAAUGUGAAUUGCAGAAUUCAGUGAAUCAUCGAAUCUUUGAACGCACCUUGCGCCCUUUGGUAUUCCGAAGGGCACACCCGUUUGAGUGUCGUGACAUUCUCAAAACCUUCUUGGUUUCUUCGACCGAGAAGGUUUUGGACUCUGGAGGUUCUUGCUGGCUUUCCUUUGUUGAAGCCAGCUCCUCUGAAAUGAAUUAGUGGGGUGUGCUUUGCUGAUCCUCGACGUGAUAAGAUAUUUCUACGUCUUGGGUCUUGCACUGUUUCCUGCUUCUAACCGUCUUGUAGAAGACAAUUGGCCGAGUGAUUGCCACUCGGCCCACAAACCUUGACCUCAAAUCGGGUGAGACUACCCGCUGAACUUAA
rnacentral:misc_RNA from 1 species